rnacentral:rRNA from 1 species
AGCAUAUCAAUAAGCGGAGGAAAAGAAACCAACAGGGAUUGCCUUAGUAACGGCGAGUGAAGCGGCAAUAGCUCAAAUUUGAAAGCUGGCCCCUUCGGGGUCCGCGUUGUAAUUUGUAGAGGAUGGUUCGGCGAGGGCUCCCGUCUAAGUCCCUUGGAACAGGGCGUCAUAGAGGGUGAGAAUCCCGUAUGUGAUGGGCUGCCUUAGCCAUGUGAACCUCCUUCGACGAGUCGAGUUGUUUGGGAAUGCAGCUCUAAAUGGGAGGUAAAUUUCUUCUAAAGCUAAAUACCGGCCAGAGACCGAUAGCGCACAAGUAGAGUGAUCGAAAGAUGAAAAGCACUUUGGAAAGAGAGUUAAAAAGUACGUGAAAUUGUUGAAAGGGAAGCGCUUGCAGCCAGACUUGUCCGCAGUUGCUCAGCCUGUCUCCUGACAGGCGCACUCUUCUGCGGCCAGGCCAGCAUCAGUUCGGGCGGUCGGAUAAAGACCCGGGGAAUGUAGCUCCUCUCGGGGAGUGUUAUAGCCCUGGGUGCAAUGCGGCCAGCCUGGACUGAGGAUCUCGCUUCGGCUAGGAUGCUGGCGUAAUGGCUGUAAGCGG